rnacentral:rRNA from 1 species
UACGGAGGGUGCAAGCGUUGUCCGGAUUUAUUGGGUUUAAAGGGUGCGUAGGUGGCUUGUUAAGUCCGGGGUGAAAGCCCACAGCUCAACUGUGGAACUGCCCUGGAUACUAGCGGGCUUGAGUCCAGACGAGGUUGGCGGAAUGGAAGCUGUAGCGGUGAAAUGCAUAGAUAGCUUCCAGAACCCCGAUUGCGUAGGCAGCUGACUAGGCUGGUACUGACACUGAGGCACGAAAGCGUGGGGAGCGAACAGG